rnacentral:rRNA from 1 species
AUACGUAGGGUGCAAGCGUUAAUCGGAAUUACUGGGCGUAAAGCGUGCGCAGGCGGUUUUGUAAGACAGAGGUGAAAUCCCCGGGCUCAACCUGGGAACUGCCUUUGUGACUGCAAGGCUAGAGUACGGCAGAGGGGGAUGGAAUUCCGCGUGUAGCAGUGAAAUGCGUAGAUAUGCGGAGGAACACCGAUGGUGAAGGCAUUCCCCUGUGCCUGUUCGGACGCUCAUGUACGAAAGCGCGGGGAGCAACCAGGAUUAGAUACCCUGCUAGCCCUCGCCCUAGACGAUGUCAACUGGUUGUUGGGUCUUCAUUGUGUCAGUGACGUAGCUAACGCGUUAAGUUGAACGCCUGGGGAGUACGGCCGCAAGGUUGAAACUCAAAUGAAUUGACGGGG